AAGCAAUUUGCUCAUAGCCAUAGCUUUCUUGUGAAAGUAGGAUAUUAACCCAGGUGUCUUGGUGCUGGAGAACAGAACUGGCCAGAGUCCAUCCUGUCUCCCACCGGCAUCCCAUUACGAAAUGAACACAGAAAAGGCAGGUCUGCAAUGCCAACAUCUAGUAUCUAUCCCAAAGACCAGGGAGAAAGGAAGGAAAGAUUCUGGUUCUGUCCUCUUCCCCAAGGCAAGGCUGGCUGCCCUACCAACAGAGGCAAAGAGAAGAGUGUGCAAGGCUGGCUGCCCUCCCAACAGAGGCAAAGAGGAGUGUGUGUUGAAAUAUCCAUUGAAUCCCUGAGACAACUGGAUCCUGGCCCAUUGAAUCAUAAACUCAUUAUGGAGGCUGGGAAGACCUAGAAUGUGGCAUCACUAUUUGCUGAAAUUUUUAAUAUAAUGCCUCUUAGCCUGGUUUGGAGAAAACGUCACAGAGAGGCACCAUUUGUUGUGGUUUUACAUGAAAAUUUUCUGACCCUGAACCUGGUUUGAUGGAAAUCAUUUGCUGAGGAAACCAUGCCGAUUACCGACCGAGCUCUCAAUGGAAAAAUGCAGUCGGCGUGAACCACGCACGAACACAGCAGAGAAAGAAGAAAACACACACCACGAGGAACCCUAAUAGGACAAUACAUUAUAAGUCACAGUGCUACGGAGAAACCCAGUAGCCACAUGGAAGCAGAGACCAUGCAUAUGCAUCUACUCCGCAGCUCUGUGAAUGUCAGCAGCUCCCACGGACUGGAGAUCCCGUGAGAUCCCGUGAGAUCUCACCCAUAGCCUCAUGGUACAUCCACUUGGUGUGCUGGGAGAGUCAGGAUGAGGACCUGAGAAGAACAGCAGCUUGAACCUGACUUCAUUUAACAGCCCACUGCCCUCUUGCCAAGAACCCAUCACAGACCUUCCCAGAAGAGAGGGAUGAGCCUCACCUAUGAAUAAGUCCUCAGAAACUCAAAUUUGAUUCUAAUGGAUUGUUUUCUCAGAAAGACUGAGCAUGUCCCCCCACAUCUCUGUCAUUUCCCACAGUAGUAACCUCUGCAGAUGCCACAUAGAAAACAAAACAAAACAAAAAAACAUGAGGUUGGUGGGCAGAUAGGCAGGGUAUAAACAAACAGCCUUGUAACCCAGAAGCUGUGUGAUAUACAGUAAACUUCACAACACUGAAAAGAUGUCCUAUCUGUUAAAAUGGGGUAAUAACAACUACCCGAAUGUUUAGGAAUAGAACUUCAAUAAAUGAUACAUUUUAUAGUACAGCAGACCAUCCUGUAAAGGUUUCAUCCUUCACUGUGGUGAUAAAUAUCCCAAACCACAUUGAAAAGCAUUGCAUCUACAUUUAUCUACACUGUAACUGUACUGUAAAUCAUGGGGGAGGGGAGAAUCAUAAAAACACCACCUGUCACCGUGUCAUUAAAGCAAGUUGGAAGUGAUACUUACAGAAACACAGCAAGAGCACCCCCAGUCACACAGUUCAAUCUCUUAGCAAGCGUUUUCUUUCUAGCCCAGUGGUUCUCAGUUUGGAAUUUUUGGCACUGCCUAGAGAUAGUUUUGUUGUUAAAACUGAGAAAAGAGCCGGGCGUGGUGGCACACGCCUUUAAUCCCAGCACUCAGGAGGCAGAGGCAGG
rnacentral:lncRNA from 1 species